GGAUGUGAGGGCGAUCUAGCUGUGACAUUUGCCACCACAUUGAUGGCCAGGGUUGAUUCAACUGAUCUGGCUGGCUAGGUGGGUGUCCCCUUCCUCUGUCAACAUUCUAUGUGCAUCCAUCCUGAAGCUGCGUGUUUGACUGAAGAGGAUGACCUUCCCCAAUAGAGGAGGACCAGUCUUCUGUCAAGGGUGUACCAGUAGCUGCACUCUCCUGCUAGAACCCCCAAACAAGCUCUCAAGGUCUAUUAUAAGGGGCCAGAGAGAUGGCUGAGUGCUUAAGAGCACUGACUGCUCUUGCAAAGGACCUGAGUUCAGUUCCCAGCA
rnacentral:snRNA from 1 species